rnacentral:rRNA from 1 species
UACGUAGGGUGCGAGCGUUGUCCGGAAUUAUUGGGCGUAAAGGGCUCGUAGGCGGUUUGUCGCGUCGGGAGUGAAAACCAGGUGCUUAACACCUGGCUUGCUUUCGAUACGGGCAGACUAGAGGUAUUCAGGGGAGAACGGAAUUCCUGGUGUAGCGGUGAAAUGCGCAGAUAUCAGGAGGAACACCGGUGGCGAAGGCGGUUCUCUGGGGAUGACCUGACGCUGAGGAGCGAAAGUGUGGGGAGCGAACAGG